rnacentral:sRNA from 2 species
AUGCCAUAGCUCAAGGAACUUUAAAACCACAAAUAGCUUCAAAGAAUACAUUAUCUCCUUUCAUCAAUGAAAUGAAAAGUAAAAUGACAGGAUAUUUUCACCUUGAUAAUAAAGGGAUUUUGCGAUCAUUUGAUGAAAAUAAUAAAGUUAUUGAUUAUAAACGGCUUUCUAAAGAGGAUUAUAUAAGACUAAAUAAAUGGUAUUUAAAUAAAGAUGAGUUAAAGCUAUUAUCUGGAACGAUAAAUUUUGAUUCUUUAGUUGAUGAAAAUGAGAUUUGGAAUCCAUCACAAGAGUUGAUUUCAUCUAGUAUUACUUUAGAUGAAUCGGAAUCUUCAAGUGAUAUUAUGAAAUUGAAGUCAAAAAAUAUUAACAUUCUCUCACGUACCCCAGCACUAUUGUGCACAACAUACUAUUGUCGCGAUAAUGAAGAAUGUACUAAUCAGGACCCU